UUAAGAGUUUGAUCCUGGCUCAGAUUGAUCGCUGGCGGCAGGCUUAACACAUGCAAGUCGAGCGGAGAGAGGUAGCUUGCUACUGAUCUUAGCGGCGGACGGGUGAGUAAUACUUAGGAAUCUGGCUAUUAGUGGGGGACAACAUUUCGAAAGGGAUGCUAAUACCGCAUACGUCCUACGGGAGAAAGCAGGGGAUCUUCGGACCUUGCGAUAAUAGAUGAGCCUAAGUCGGAUUAGCUAGUUGGUGGGGUAAAGGCCUACCAAGGCGACGAUCUGUAGCGGGUCUGAGAGGAUGAUCCGCCACACUGGGACUGAGACACGGCCCAGACUCCUACGGGAGGCAGCAGUGGGGAAUAUUGGACAAUGGGGGGAACCCUGAUCCAGCCAUGCCGCGUGUGUGAAGAAGGCCUUAUGGUUGUAAAGCACUUUAAGCGAGGAGGAGGGUACUGGUAUUAAUACUACCAGGUACUGGACGUUACUCGCAGAAUAAGCACCGGCUACUC
rnacentral:rRNA from 1 species